AUUGAACGCUGGCGGCAGGCUUAACACAUGCAAGUCGAGCGGAGAUGAGGUGCUUGCACCUUAUCUUAGCGGCGGACGGGUGAGUAAUGCUUAGGAAUCUGCCUAUCAGUGGGGGACAACAUUCCGAAAGGAAUGCUAAUACCGCAUACGCCCUACGGGGGAAAGCAGGGGAUCUUCGGACCUCGCGCUAAUAGAUGAGCCUAAGUCGGAUUAGCUAGUUGGUGGGGUAAAGGCCUACCAAGGCGACGAUCUGUAGCGGGUCUGAGAGGAUGAGCCGCCACACUGGGACUGAGACACGGCCCAGACUCCUACGGGAGGCAGCAGUGGGGAAUAUUGGACAAUGGGCGGAAGCCUGAUCCAGCCAUGCCGCGUGUGUGAAGAAGGCCUUUUGGUUGUAAAGCACUUUAAGCGAGGAGGAGGCUACUUAGAUUAAUACUCUAGGAUAGUGGACGUUACUCGCAGAAUAAGCACCGGCUAACUCUGUGCCAGCCGCCGCCGUAACAC
rnacentral:rRNA from 1 species